AAUGUCCGCAUUCCAGCUAAUGUUGCGCAGAUAAAAUUCAAACUUGAGGUAAACAGAAGAAGAGGAGGAGGAGGAGGAGGAGGGGAGGGGGGAGGAAGGGGGGACUGUUUCCAUUUCGAGAUCCCACCUCUUCCCUCCGCGCAGCCCAACAUCCCGAACCUAGAGACAACUCUUGCCUUUCUCCCACGUCCCCCACCUUUGCUGUCAACAAGAAAUAAAGGCGGGGCGGGGGGGGGGGUUGGAGGUAGGGGGUGGCGUGCUUAUUAAUUAGAAAGGACGCGGUGUCUCGGUUCUCCACUGGAAUCAGCAACUCCCUGGAACUCGGGCCUCUGGCCCCGUCCCUCUUUUCUCCGGCAGGGACGCAGGAUGCCUUGGUGCACUCUAGAGACGGGGACCGGAGGGUGCAGCGCGCCUGGGUGGGGCGAAGGGCGCCGGUCUCCUCACGCCCUCUGACUUUAGGAUACCAGACAGUGUCUCUUCAACCCCACCCCAGGCGCAGGUUUCCAGAAGGCGGGGUGGGUGGGGCCCCCGAUUUCCAGAAGGCGAGUUACCUAGCAGGUGUGUGGGGUGGGCAUUGCUAUUCGGUAAGUCUGUUGCAUGGGGUAGGAUGACGUGGGGAGCUUAAAAGCUUUAAAGCCAGCGCAAAGGUAGAGCUGCGUCUGCUGUUUUUGUUUUUUUUUUUUUUUCCCUGUGUCUGUGGCAAAUUAAGGAGAAAAAUCAAGACGUUCCCUUCAGUCCUCCCUCGGUGUUAACGUCUGCUCCAGCUCGCAGCCCGCUGCUGGGCAUUUUAUUAAUGCUUUUACGAGUUAGAAGAGUUGGGAUAAUUUGCCAUCUGGAGUUUCUCUGCCUUGCUGAUCUGAGCUCAGACCUGCCAAUUUACCAGAGAUAAUUGAUAACACCCUGUAACAGCUGAGAGGAAAAUGGAAGAAACGGAGAUACUUUUAGUGAAGCAGAAUAAACCACUGAACAGGAAAAAUGAGGAAGCUGUGAGUACCAGUGGAAGGAACGAGCCAGGAAGAGGGACUGGAACCAUCUCAGAAGCCAUGCCCCUCAGGCUGGAACUUGCCCUGUCUCCUCGCAGAUGAGGUAGGAGGCUCAGCACGGGCUGGUGGGAGCAGCCCACAGCAGCAGUGAGGGUCAGUGGGCCUGUGAGUUAAGAAGAAGGUGGCACAGAGCGAGGGUCUCUGGAUCCUGACUGUUUGACUUUUCCAUGAUUAGGAUAAGUAGCCAGGGCUUGGCUAGUUGGAGAGUUACUCGAACCUCAGGUGACAGUUGUAAGGCAGCACAUAGUGAAAAAGAGUCCUAGCCUGGGAAAGUCCAAAACCUUAGGUCUGGUUUCAGUUCACUCACCUAUCUCUGUGACAUAGCAAAGUCUGUUAAUUUCUCUAAUUUUCUGAUUAGUAGUAUAGUUGCAGGAAUGAAAUAAAAAUGGUCCUGAUUACUCAGAGAUUCAUUUACUGAUUACUCUUUUUGUGACCUGAAUAAAGAGUACAACAUCUCUCAAAAGGUAACAAUAUGAUGUUUCAGGAAAUUAGAGAAGUUAAGAGACUUUGCUGUAUUUACUAUACAGAUAGUUGACUGACAGCUGAGCCCGGACCCAAGAUUCAUUUAUAAAAUGAAGGAGUUGAGAAGUACAUACUCUGAGGUUUAUCCUAAAUAAACUGAAGUCUAGGCAAGUGGCUGAGCUAGGUUUGCCAUGAAUCAAUCUGCUGAGUAUAUUUCUUGGUAACUAGUUCAUCUUUCCUUAAUUCAGUCAACAAAUAUGAUAUCAAGUUUAGUAAGAUGAUGACAGUUGUCAUGUAAUACUCCAUCUGGAAGAUUGUAUGCUUCUCAGCUUCCCUAACUUUUCUUAAUCUACCUUAAGCUUCCUUUCUGAAAGGUUUCUGUCUUUCCUAACAGUCUCUUCUUUCCGCCAGCUACCUCUUGUGUUUAAGAAUUAAAGGAAGAUGAGCUAGGAAUCAAGAAAUACGCAGAACUGAUUCCUGUCACUGGCGCCACCCUGCCACUUGCCCAGAGCUGUGGUAUAAAUUUUUUUAAUAGGCUGAAAUAAAAAUAUGAAUAGCAUUUUGGUAUUAAGCAUUAAAUUGAUAAAGGCUAUGAGAUACACCUGCUCUCAACCAUGUUAAUUUUUUAUUAUUGGUAUUAAUAAAUUAUUACUUACUAACAUAUUAACAAGAAUUGCAUUGAGAAACAAAGCAUCCACAGGCCAAAUCUUCUGAAUUUCAAAUGUUUAUAUUAAUGCGUUGUAUUCUAGAAAAGUAGAAUUGUCUUAAGUAGCUUUGUAAUAUAAAGUCAUCUAUCAGCCCAUUACACCUAUUAGAAUGUUUUAACCUUUAUUUCCCACUUUUUUGUUUCUAGACUGAGUGUACUUGGUCUGGUAUUUGUGGCAUAACUUACGGAACACAUAAGAAUGAUACAGAUACUAUUUAAUGAUGACCUAAUACAAGCUUAGAUAGCUAAGGUGAAAGCUUCUAUGGCCUUAACAUUUUCCUCUUGAAGAAUGUAUUUUCUGUAAUAAAAUACAGUGGCUACUUGAAAUCUAUAAACUUAUGUGAGGUCUGGAUAAAUCUGAGCAACUUUCUUCUUUGUGCUCCAGGAACCUACGCACUAUAUAUAUAAAUAAAGCUUAAGUAAACAUCACUGCAAUCUGUGUUUUGUUUGAUUAUAUUACGUAUUGCCUGAUCUUUAAAUAAUGAUGAAAAAUAGCCUUUAACAUAAACCAUGAAUGGAUAUGCACUUGAGGGAAACAGUUUCUUGGAUAAUUAAACUUUAAUUUCUCACCGUGGAUUCCUUGGAUCUUGUAAUAUUUUUUAAAACAGUCCUGGGGAUUUAUUUUUAAGGCGUCCAAAUGAAUUAUUAGUUCUCAAAAGCCAUAGUAUAUUCAUGGGUCGAUAUAUCCUCAAAACACUAUUUUUAAACUGCUUAGUUUAUUUUUCUUAGCGUGCUCAUCUGCUGCAUAAUUUUCUUUGCUAUGUAUGGGUCACAUGCUUCCUCCCGUCCAUAACUCACGCACUUAAAAUUCUCACUUCCUGAUUGAGCCAUCAGAUUACGUAAAAUGUAAAUCAGCCUGAAUACCUAGGAGCAGGAAUUUUAAGGGAGAAAAUGCCGUUUUCUUUUUCUGUGUCAUUAUUAACCCUUAAAUAUCAGAGUGAGUGUCUGCUCACCUAUUUGUAUUUGGAAACGAGAUACUGUUAGGGGUUUUUCUUGGCCCUUCCCUUUCAGAUUGAAUCAGACUUUGCUGCUUUCCUUAUACAAAAUAAUGUACCAACUAGAUAGACGGUGGGAGUGGUAUCGUUGCAGGAAUGAAACCAAAAGGGUUCCGAUGAUUGAGAGAGAUUCAUUUAUUUUUUAACUCUUCUCAUGAUCUGAAUGAAGAGUACAGCAUCUAUCAAAAGGUAACAACCUAAUAUUUCAGAAUUGCAAGUGGCCAUUUAGCCUUUCUGCUGCCUGAUAUAAAUGAAAGUAAUUCCUAGCAGGCAGGAUGACACUUGUUUUAUCACGAAUCUGACAAUCCAGCACAUUUUCUCAAGCAAUUUUGAAGUUGUCGUAGUAACAGCAUGGCAUUUGGAGGGUCUUUUUAGUAGUUCUUUAGCUAGAGUUAAUUAAUUGUAUUAACUCUGGAUGUUUUUCUUUUUACUCCUCUUUGACAAACAAGGGCUAUAAUUGCUCAAAUAUGUAUUUUGUGUUCUAUAUUUUUUGGUGACUAUAGUUUAAGGACGUGAUGUUUUUAAGUGGUUUCAGUAAAAGGUUAUCAGUUGAUUUCAGACACAUUAAACUUGGGUUUUUAAUUUCUCUGUAAAAUUCCACUAUCAUUGUAGGACCAGGAUUUAGUUUUAUUUAAGAAGUGAAUCUGGGGAGAUAUUUGCACAAAUUGAAUUGUGGCUUGCUUCCAGUGGUUGCAACUAUCCGUUGCUUUGAUUUUGGUGUAUUUAGAAAAAGAACUGGGGAAUGCAGAAAGGGAAAUGUGUCAGGCUUACAGGAGAAAAUUGUUUCUUUAGAAAUGCAACAGGCAGGCACACCACCAAAAGCAUGUUCCAUAAAAGAAAACAAAUAAAUUUGAUUUUGUGAAACUUAAGAAUGCAGUGCUCUUUGAAACUCUAAAAUAUACUUAAAUAAAUUCUCCCCUAGGAAGAUUUGUGGGAACUUUUUAUUGGUGGAAAGUAGGUUGGAACUUCUAGUAUUAAUAGUAAAACUCUGUGGCAGAAAUUCUUGCCAAUAUGGCGGUUGGUGAGAAAGGAAUCCCGUUUCUUGGGCAGGGAGAGGGUCAGAAGAAAGAAUUGUCUGUACUCAGUCUGGAUGCCGGGACUUAAAAAGUAUCAGAUAUACAAUGCUUUUGUUUUCUUGUAUAAGUGAACAGAGAGAUGUGACACUUCUAAAAGGUCUUGUGAGUUUUGUGGGUUUAAUGCUAAUGCCACUAUCCUUACUGUUCUGUGAGUAUUUGUUCAGCCACGGGUGAUUCAAGAGAGUUGGGGUAUCAGCAUGUGCAGCCAACAGCAGUCCAGGUGCUAAUGCACCACCGGUGAUGUCAGGAGUUACGAGACAGCGGUUUCCAAACACUGCAGUAAACAAGGUCAAAGUGUCCCGUUUCGCUGGAAGAAGUUUUGUUUUUAUGAGCUGGACAGUACAUGGAUGAAGUAAUUUUUCAAAACAAACUUUAAAUUUAUACAUGUGUUUUUUUUCUUCUUCUCUUUGGAUUAAAAUAAAUUGGCCCGUUGAGAUUAAAUAAUGGUUAUGUUUUUAAGCAGAAUUAUAUUUCAUAUGUUUUUCCAGUCUUUUAUUGAUUUUCUGUUUUUCACAGAAGAAAUGAAAAUAACUUCUGAUGUAGGGUUUCUUAAAUGCAGUUUGAGAGAGCAAGAUAGGAACCAGUACUUUCAAAAUAUGGCAAGUGCAAGUCACAAUCCCUAGUAAGAUAUUCCUUCUCAUUUUGUGCCUUUGACUCUUAUUUAGACAGACGUUUAAGUACGAGAAAGCUAAUGGCGCAGAUUCUGCUGACUGUGUGGCUCUCGUCUUAAUGCGUUUUCCAACCUUGAACCUGAGAAUGCCAGAGGAUUGAGUCUCUGGACGUUCAUCUGAGCAGAUAUCUGCUGGCCGCCUGGUUCCUGAGCUAACAAGUGGGUGUCCCGGGCUUGUGUGUGUAGUCACAACAGUGGAGGUGCCACGUGGCACCCAGAGGUCGACUGGGGCUACCGCGGGGCUUCCCGAUCCUCACAAGUGUGUCUUCAGUGUCUGACAUGAACUGGGAACUUGGGGCAUCUUUAGAAGCACAGACAUUUGGAGUUCCACGGCAAACCUGGAUGUAAGCACUCACACAGCUUUUAAAGUGAAAGCAGGGACCUUGAGGAAGGAAUCGCCGUCAUCUCAUUGCCGACCUGCUUACUGUGCUGGGAAACAAAGUAAGUUCUGUUUGUUUCUUUGUUAGUCUCUCCUGCGUGUUUUUUCUUGCUAAUGUUAUUAGACACUCAAUAUCCGGCAAAUGCCAAGUUUUUUCCCCUUCAUUGGGAAGUAGGAUAUAGUUUAUUCAAUAGCUGAUUGCUUCUUUUAUCUUUUCCCUCUUCCCAUAUCUAGUGUGCCGGCUUGCUGUUUAGAGAUAGGAAGAGAUUGAAAUUUAUUAUCAAGGAGAAAACAAAAAGUGUUUUGUUUUGUUUCUAAAUGGUCCAAGAACUUUGCCAUUAGGUAAAUGACUAUGACACAGACAAGGCGUUUUGCAUGGUAUGACCAGGAGCACCUCUAGCAAAACAGCCCCAGUUCGCCGCCCUGAUUUCCAUUUGGAAGCAGGCACAGUGGGUUUCCCCAGGACCGAUGUUAACGCAGAGGGUCCUUGUGCAGGAAUUGUGCAGAAACUAGGUGGGAAGGUGUCACAGACAAGAGGCUGCAAUUUAAAAACGCAUCAGGAAAUGGAAAAGAGCUGCGAGAAUAUCAAUUAUUUAAUGAUGUUGAUAAAAACAAAUUUAAUAUAAAAAUGAGAUACAAUGUAUAGAGACCUAACCCUGUCAACAGCAACUAAACUUUACUUUCAUGUUAGAAAGUUUUGUGCCAUGUAGAUUUAUGGAAAAUGUGCUUAAUUGCCUCUAGAAAAUAAUGAAGAGGCUUCGUCACCUCCAUAGAAGAUCCUGUGACACUAGCCUAAUUCUGACACAUGGCUCCUGUUUUCCAUUUUGUUUGUUUUUUUAUGCUGAUCCUCUCUCCAGAGAUGUGAUGUGGAUUGAUUAACUUGUAAUAUAAAGUUCUAUGGUUUCUGAAAAUGCAGAGCAAAUAGAGAUGAAGAGUGGUUUGUGAUUUGUUAUUAAAUGAUCUUCCCUUCUACAUUUAGGACUGAUUUUUACUGUAGAAUUUUUUUUUUUUUUUUUUUUUUUUUUUUUUGUCAACUUGAACAGCAAUACCUUGAAGGUAAAAGGUGGGAGCACGACUGGAGUGUGGAACUGGAAAGCAGAAACCAGGGGUGUUACUUCUAUGUCUAGUAUGGAAUGUUGUGAAUUUAAGUUAGAGCUUCUGUGUCCUGGGAAUUCAUAUUUUAUCUCAAAGUGGUGCUGAUAGGACUGGAGGUAGCUGUAUUUCAUUUGAAACAUUCCAGCCUCUUUAUAGGAAUAUCUGUGAAUUUUUAAUUCAGCAAACAUCUUUAAGUGUGUCAUUUAUGUAUAGCGUUGUAGUCAGAGCUGUAAUUGUUUCACCAUUAAAUUUACGGAAAUUCAGUUUGUAAGUGAAAAAUUAAGAACAGUUUGAAAGAAGGGCGAAUGAGCAGAGCAUUGCCAUCUAAACAGUCUUGUUAAAGAUAGUGCCAAGUGAGCAGGACUGUCCCUUCUAAGCUGCCCCUCCUAAUUAAAGGGAAAGGUGGCUGCCAUCUGUCUUCUUUCAUUCAAGGCAGUAGGGGGUCUAGGGUGGAAGGAAGCAACCCCCACUUUAUUUUUCUCCCACUCUUUUUUAUAGUCAGCUUUCUCCCUAGUCAGUGACCCAGAAGGUCAUUGAUGAUCUGUCUAUCUCAGAAUGAAUAGUAGCAUAAGCACGCUUGGCACUUGCAAAAAAAAGAAAGUUUAUAACAUGCACUGAUCCAUUUAAAGUUCUGCUUGAAUUAUGUCUGAGAGUAUUGUAAUCUCUGUAUUGGUGUCUCUGCCCUGUUUGUUACCAAGGGCACUACUGGCAGGAAAAGUGGGGAGUUUUACUUUUAUUGAUUUUGCUUUUUCAUGAAAAAAUGUUUACACUCCACUGGGCAUAAUCAGAAGAUGGCAGCACAUGGCUAUGUACAGGAGAUGUGGGGAUGUACAGGAAUAUUGUUCUUAUCAAAAUCAAGGACACCUAUUAAUGAUGAUACAUAUAUGUCAUCUCAGGGGAAAGCAUGAACAAGCAUGGCAACAGAUGUCCAAGUUACUCAGUGGCCUGCUGCAGCUUUUUGGACCAGUUAUUGAAAUAAUUCACAUUGUUUAGCUUUUGUUAAGCAAUAAGGCUUUUAGCCUUUUUCUUGUAAGAAUACGUUGCAGGAGAGUUUAGUUUGGGGUCAUGUCUUCAUUGCUUUGGAAAUGUAGAAUAGUCCUCCAACAAAAUGACUGCAUUUGCUUGCCUUCGUUUCCACCUCUGUAAAUAGAAGAAAUAUCUGCUGUUUUUAUAAAUAUAUAAGAGAAUAUGAAAUAUUUUCCAUCUUUCAUAAGAACUGUGUUAUAACUGAAAAAUUCUCAAAUCUUCAGUUAUGUUUAUUUUCAAUUUUUACACACUUAAGCAAGGUGUUAACAGUCUUCUAAAGAGAUUCAGUUGUUACAAGCCUUGUUUAGUUCCCAAGUAGCAGGUAUGGACUUCUCAGAACAUACUGGUUUUUAGAACUCUCUUUGUGACACAGAAGUGUGGUAUUUCUUAAACCCAUAACAAUAUAUUUGGAGAGCUCAAAUGUGAAAGUCAUGUCUGUAAUUUUAUUUAGAGCUUUUUUUUUUUUUUUUUUUUCCAAAUUUGUCACCAACUUGCAACGAGCUUUCUUGGAAACAUAGACGUGUUUAUGUUGUUGAGUCUUGAGAUGAACAUGUGUGGGCUUCUGACGACACUGAUGCCCAGUUUGUAUGAUUGGAUGAUACCUGAAAAGUGGGUCACUUCCUAGUCAGUGAAGGGUACACAGGGCUGAAUAGGCAGGGCUUUUUGGCUUUUUCCGUGCUUUUGUUUUUGUUUUUGGUGUGUGUGUGUACUAAUUUUAGAUACUCAGCUAGGUACUUGACUGGCUAUCCUUUUUAGCAUGUGAUUUAAUUUGGUUUUACCCAUCAGUAUUUAUUUCAAGGGGACUAAAUAAACACAUUAAAUGAAGCACUUAAGAACUUUCUAUCUUCUUUUGACUAUCCACAGCGGUGGGAAAUCUCUGUCCUUUGAGGGUAGGAGGGAGCCAAUAGUUAGGUCUCAUGAAUAUGGUAGGUGAUCAAACCACUGAUUCAAGUCAUUGUUUCAUGUUAUAAACAUGGACUGAGCCAGCUACUACAUUUCAGUAGAAGGUACUGUAGAUUCAAAAGUGAACAUGGGUCUGGCAUUUCAGAAAGACACAGGUUAGUGAGAUAAAUGACUAUAAAAAGAGGUAGCACUGUAGACUGAUGUCCUGUAACAGAGGUACACGUGUGCUGUUAGAGCCAAGAGGGGGUCAAAAUAAAAAGACAGGGCACGGUGGCUCAUACCUGUGAUCCCAGCACUUUAGGAGGCUGAGGUGGGAGGAUCACUUGAGGCCAGGAGUUCAAGACCAGCCUGGGCAACAUAGAUCCCCAUCUCUACAAAAAAAUAAAAUAAAAUAAAAAAAUAAGCCACACAUGGUGGCAUGCAUCUAUAGUCCUAGCUACUUGGGAGGCUGAGGCAGGAGGAUCCCUUGAGCCCUGGAGUUGAAGGCUAUAGUGAGCUAUGAUCACACCACUGCACUCUAGCCUGAGCGACAGAACAAGAUCCCAUCUCUGAAAAAAUGGAUGAGUGAAUUAAAUUUCAAAAUAGAGAUUUAAUGGAAAAAUGAGAAUUGUUGUGUACAUGAUUUAUGAAGUGGCUUACAUAAUAUAAUUUUGGACAUGAAAGCCCUGAAAAAUAGCUUCUUAUUUUAAGGAUGAACAGACUGGGAUUUAUUUCUGAAAUUCUAUAAUUCUCAGUCAGUUGUAAGGCUUUCAUUAUAUAAUAGACUUUUUUUUUUAACCAACGGAAGUUGGACCUCUUCAAAAUGUGAGAUCCAAAAAGGUUUUGGAUAUUGUUUGAAUAACUCUCUUCUCCAAAGGAGACUGUUUUUGAAAAAUGAUUCUUUCUGACAUGUUAAAAUUGAAUAUUUUUGACACGCCAAAUGCACCAAAGUAUUAUAUGUCAUGUUUAUUGCCGAGAGUAGCUAUAUAGCUUGUGGGAGACAGUUAACGUGAAGCUUUCUUGCAUCUGGAAGUAUGGGGAGAGAGAAGGCUUCUUCACACCCCCUUUCAUGUUAUAUUCUACAGGGAAAGAAUUUCUAUCAUGUAGACACUAGGUGACUCCCUUGUGGAUAAUUUCAUUUAACAAUGAUUUCUGGGUGUUGCUCUAUGCCAGGCACUGUUCUAGGAGCUGAUGCGAAGGCUCAGCUGAUGGGCUACAGACCUGAAGGCCUGUGCUCCUCAGUGGCACUCUGUAGGUAGAUACAGAGCCACCAUCUACUGGGUGCUUCUCCUGAGUGUGACAGUGUAGGCUGGGACACGAUGCUACCCUUCAAGGAGCUUGAAGCUAAGGUUCUGUGCACAGAUAAAAUUAGAAUAAAUGCAGAGAUGCUAUAACAAGAUGUCUUAGAAAAAAGAAAAACAAAGAAUAAAUGCAGAGAGAAAGAGAAAUGUAUAAAAGGUAGAGAGAUAAACAUACCACAAGUUCAUAGAAAAGAAAGGUUGUGUGUUUAUCUGUGGCUGGGAUGAUCAAGAAAUGCUUCAUGGAUAAAGAGCCUUUGAGCCAGACAUUGAAAGAAAGGUAAUGUUGGACUUGAGGUCUUGGAGUAUCCUCGUUGAAGGAAACAUGAGCAAAGGCAUAGGUAGGGAUGGGAAAUGCCGGGGUGCAGAGUGGGCAGGAAUCGAUUUGUAGUUGCUGGGCAAUGAUGUGUGUAAACCACUAAGGAGAAGAUCAGGUAGCAAAGGUCCUUGGAGGCCAGAACCCAGAGGGCCUUGAAUGGCACGUGACUAAAUGAUUUAAACUUAAGUUACUGGGGAGCAAUGGAAGAAUUUGAGUGGCUAGAGUCCCCAUCCUGAAGAGGCCUUGCGGGGAUCAGCAUGUGGGUGCCUCUGGACUGUGAAAUAGCCAGAGCUGGGAAGCCUUUUAGAGCUGCUGUUGUGGUCCAGGAGGGAGGUGGGGAGGGCCUGGGUGAGGGGAAGGCCACUAGAUGGAGAAAUUGAAUUUAUGAGAUGGGAUUUAGGAACUGCCUAGAUAAUAGGGGUUGGCCGAUGGGAAGCAAAAAUGCCCCCAGAGCUUUGAACCCAGGUGCCAUUCAUUAUUUCUAUGCCAUCUGCCAGGCAUUGCAUAGCUAUUAUCUCAUUUAAUCUCCUCCUAAUCUUGUGGGUUGGUAUUUUCAUCCUUAUAUCAGAGACGAGAAAACUAAGGGUCAGAGAAAAUUAGCAAUUGGUCUAAAAUUGUACAGUUGUAACAGGAUCUAGAACAGGGACUUCAGUACAGGCCUCCCUGACCCCCAAGCCUGUGUUCUUUCUACUGUACUAGGCUUGGAAGACAGCGUACGUGAGAGCAAAGACAAGCUCUGUCCACUCUGUGCAUAUUCAGUGUAGGUGCUGGUGAGAUUCCCGCCUUCAGGUGUCCAGCAAGUGGUUGGAGACAUGGAGCCGAAUCUCAAGGACAUUGGGAGGAUUGAAGGUCAAGGCUUAAGAACCAUCUGCAUCCUCAUUUAUUUAUUCAGCAGCUAUUUGUUGUGUCUUCGUGGACCAGCUUGGCAGCAUGAAUGCUGUGACCAACAAGAGAGGUGUGUCCUUCACGGAGCUGCCAGGCUGGGAGGGAGCCCUGAUGGCGUGGCUUGAGUGUAAGGCAGGAGGUGUGCAGAUUGGCUGUGGGAACUUACUGGCCUAACCUUGUCAGGUCAGGGAAGCUCUCUAGAGGCAGUUGUGGUUCUCAACAUGAGACUCAAAUGAUGAGGACCCAGUUAAAAAGUGGGAAAACAGCAUACCCCAGGCCGUGGAAGUAGCGCGUACUCAGGCAGAGCAAGAUAAGAACACAGUGUCUUUAAACCAAAAACCACGUGUGGCUGGAAUGGAGGGAAGAGCAAGGAGAUAAGACAGGUGAGCAGGAACCAGAACAAGAAAUGCCCUGGAAGCUGUGAGACGCUUGGAAUUCACCUGUGAAGAAAAGAGUAGCCUCAUCUGAAUUCCUUGCCUCGAUUAUGGUCUCCAAUAGAAGAUUAAAUGGCUGUGGAGUCUAGAGGUUUUUUCCUUCGGUGUGGGCAUCACCCCUUCUGAAAGGAUGGUGUAAUGGCUAAUUGUAUGUAUCAGCUUGGCGAGGCCACAGUACCCAGAUACUUGGUCAAGCACCAGUCUAGAUGUCGCUGUGCAGGUAGUUUUUUAGAUGAGGUUUAACAUUUAUAUCAGUAGAAGGAGUGAAGCAGAUUAUCCUUUGUAAUGUAUGUAG
rnacentral:lncRNA from 1 species